GGGAGUGUAGUUCAGUGGAAGAGCACGUACUUUGUAUGCAAAAGAGCCCAUGUUCAAUCCCAGGCAUCUCCA